AGAGUUUGAUCAUGGCUCAGAACGUACGCUAGCGGCGUGCUUAACACAUGCAAGUCGAACGCGAAAGUUGUCCUUCGGGACGGCGAGUAAAGUGGCAGACGGGUGAGUAACACGUGGGUAACCUACCCCGAGGCGGGGGAUAACAACUGGAAACGGUUGCUAAUACCGCAUAAGACUACGAAUCUUCGGAUUAGUAGUUAAAGUCUUCGGACACCUUGGGAGGGGCCCGCGGUUGAUUAGCUUGUUGGUGGGGUAAUGGCCUACCAAGGCAACGAUCAAUAGCUGGUCUGAGAGGAUGAUCAGCCACACUGGUACUUAGACACGGACCAGACUCCUACGGGAGGCAGCAGUGGGGAAUAUUGCGCAAUGGGCGAAAGCCUGACGCAGCAACGCCGCGUGUGUGAAGAAGGCUUUCGGGUCGUAAAACACUGUCAGGUGGGAAGAAACCUACCCUUGAGGUAGCUGACGGUACCACCAAAGGAAGCACCGGCUAACUCCGUGCCAGCAGCCGCGGUAAUACGGAGGGUGCAAGCGUAGUUCGGAAUUACUGGGCGUAAAGGGCGCGUAGGCGGCUUGUCGGGUCUGAUGUGAAAGCCCGGGGCUCAACCCCGGAAGUGCAUUGNAAACUGGCAAGCUUGAGUUCGGAAGAGGANGGCAGAAUUCCCGGUGUAGGGGUGGAAUCCGUAGAUNUCGGGAGGAAAAUCAGUGGCGAAGGNGGCCCUCUGGUACNAAACUGACGCUGAGGCGCGAAAGCGUGGGGAGCAAACAGGAUUANAGACCCUGNAGUCCAC
rnacentral:rRNA from 1 species